CUUGACUUAGUUCGUGGGCGUUUCGGUUCCUCGCUUCGAAUUAAGUGCCGGUUGCGGGAAUUCAGCUUUUUUGGUGUAAUAUUUUCGAGCAUUAGCUCAUCUACCGAGAGGCGCAAAAAGUGUCGGCAAAAGCGAACUGGUUUGCAAAAUUGAAGAAUUUCAAUAGGAAACAGUUCCAGUUAUUAAGUAGUGUGCCUCCCGGUUGAGGUCAAGCAGUAGAUAAGAAACAAAUCUAGUUUAAGGAUCGUGUGAAGUGUUGAGCAAAUAUUGUUCGCGAAAGAAUCAAUAUCUAGUCAUUGGUCAGCUGAACACACUCGCGUGGCACACGUGACAGAAGCAAUCUGUCGAAGAAAUUUUCCAGUGAAAACAUACAGUUCCAAAGUGCGCUAACCUAUUAAAAAAUGUCACUAAAUCUCGCUACUCGACCACCACGCGACUUCCGGUGGCGAAGCAGUUCCGGACGAGGCGCCAUGCAGCAACUUCUAGUGCUGGCAACACUGGCGCAGGUGCUUUCGGCGGCCGUUGUGGUUUACAAGUUCCCCACCAUCGUCGAUAACCGGCUCGAUCCGACUGAUUUAUUGCCGAGCUGUCCGAGUGAAAUCUACUGCCAUGGCAAGCUGCUGCACACGGUCCAGAUGGCGCAUCUCUAUCCGGACUCGAAAACCUUUGUCGAUAUGAAGAUGAAGAAAACCCCCAACGAAACGUUGGCCUCGUUCAACGAUUUCAUGACCUCGAAGCAGGACAACCCGAGCCCGGCCGAGAUUAAGCAGUGGGUCGAGUCGGCGUUCGAUGCGCCCGGUGCCGAGUUCGAGGACUGGACCCCGGAUGAUUGGGUCGAAAGCCCUGGGUUUCUGAAGCGCAUUAAUGAUGAGAAGCUGCGGGAGUUUGGUUCCAAGUUGAACGGCAUCUGGCACGUGCUGGGACGAAAGAUGAUUGCCGAUGUUGCGCUCAAUUCCGAUCAGUAUUCCAUCAUUCCUGUGGAACACCCCGUAAUUGUACCGGGUGGACGGUUCCGAGAGUUUUACUACUGGGACUCCUACUGGAUUGUGCAAGGUCUCUUGCAUUCGGAAAUGACAAAGACAACGCGAGGUAUGCUGGAGAACUUCCUUUCCAUCGUUGAUCGUUUCGGAUUUAUUCCCAAUGGAGGCCGAAUCUACUACAGCAUGCGAUCACAACCUCCGCUACUCUGUGGAAUGGUCAAGUCCUAUGUGGAUGCAACCGGUGACAAGAAGUUCGCUGUUGACCACGUUGAAACGUUGGAACGGGAGUUUGAAUUCUUCAGGAACAACUAUCUGAUUGAGGUCAACGGACAUCAACUGGCUGCCUACGGUUACAAAUCGAGUGGUCCUAGACCAGAGUCCUACCGAGAGGACUACAGCAGCGCUCAAGAUGCCUUCACAACGGAAGAGGAGAAACAGGAUUACUACGGAGAGUUGAAGGCAGCUGCAGAAAGUGGCAUGGAUUUCAGCAGUAGAUGGUUCAUCAAGGACGGCACGAACAAUGGAACGUUGAUCGAUCUCAAGUGUAGAUCAAUCAUUGCUGUCGAACUCAAUGCAAUCCUGUACUGGAACGCUAUGAUCAUUUCGGAGUUCUAUGGAUUGAAAGGCGAUCUGGAAAAGGCAAGCGAUUUUGCUGCUAAAGCCAACGACAUCAAGAAAGCCGUCGAUGCAGUAUUAUGGAACAGCGAGCAUGGCAUCUGGUUGGACUACGAUUUGAUCAACAAAAAACACCGUCCAUACUUCGUUCCCACGAAUCUCUCUCCUCUGUGGACCGGAUGCUACGACAAGGGUGACAAAACGCUGGCCAAAAAGGUGCUGGCUUACAUCGAGAAGGAAGGGCUGGACAAAUACCCUGGAGGUGUACCCAAUACGAUGUUCAACACCGGUGAGCAGUGGGAUUUCCCCAAUGUCUGGCCGCCAAUGCAGCAUAUGUUGAUCAUGGGCUUGGAUGGUAUGGACAGUGACGAAACCAAGGAGAUGGCCUUCAAAUGGGCCGAACGGUGGGUGCUGGGCAACUACCUGGCCUUCAACGAAACGAACGCCAUGUUUGAGAAGUACAACGCAGAAAAACUAGGAGGCCAUGGAGGAGGUGGUGAAUACGAAGUUCAAUUAGGCUUCGGCUGGAGCAAUGGAGCUGUCAUGGAUCUGAUGUACAAAUACGGUGACCGGCUGACUACAGCUAUUCUAUAAGAAUAACAACUUUCAAAACAUGAUCGAUGAUUUAGAUACUCUAGCCCCUCUAUCUAAAAAUGUUCUACAUGGUUGAGUAGUGCACAGUUUUUCGAAGUUUCUGAAACCUUUUUUUCCCAAAUUUCCUACGUUUACACUAGCCACAAUCUUUCAAGACCCUGAAAACAACAGCGCUCGGUCUGUGAUUGCCAAUUCUCUCAGCACUGGUAUUCUGGCAACACUUGCAGCAGUUGCAUUGGUCCUAUUCCGUUGAGAGAAAGGAGCUGCAUCUCUCUUUGAGGCCCUUACCCAAAUACUGUUCCUAGGGAAGUUGAGCUUUCUUAUUUAAGUUGUACUAGAAUGAACCAGAUGAGGUCAUAAAAUUGUAAUUUGAAGAAAAAAAUAGAAAAAAAUCUUUGAGUAUACUUUUGGGCGUUAGAAAGAGUGCUUAUUUUUCUUUCGAACUAUUUAAAUAAUUUGAAUUUGAGCAAAAAAUAAUUGAAAUAUUUUGAAAGUUUAGAAGCUUUUCUCUGCACGAUGUUUCUCUGUCCUGACAUUGUAAUGAAUUUUUCAAUAUAAGUAAAAUUGUAGUAGAGUUAGACUUUCUCUUGCUGUGCAACAGUUCAAUGGUCAUUUCAAUCAACUUCAUUUGUUUUUUAAACUUGACAGUUCUAGUUAAAUAAUACCAGUAGACUUAAAUUUCUCUUGCUGUGCAACAGUUAAAUGGUUUAUUUUCGAUUAAAUGUUAAAAUAAAUGUUUUCAGUAUUGUCAUUCAAAGAUUAGCCUUAUUUAUACUAGUAUCUUAGCUAGAUUUGAUAAUUUUUAAAUCACUAGAAUAAGAUUCUUCAUACAAUACAAUUAAAAUAUCCUUAUUAAAA